rnacentral:rRNA from 1 species
UACGGAGGGGGCUAGCGUUAUUCGGAAUUAUUGGGCGUAAAGGGCGCGUAGGCGGCCCGGUAAGUCAAAGGUGAAAUCCCUCGGCUCAACUGAGGAACUGCCUUUGAAACUGUCGGGCUUGAGGCCGGGAGGGGGUAGCGGAAUUCCCAGUGUAGAGGUGAAAUUCGUAGAUAUUAGGAAGAACACCAGUGGCGAAGGCGGCUCACUGGCCCGGUACUGACGCUGAGGCGCGAAAGCGUGGGGAGCAAACAGG